AACUGUACUUGCAGUGCUCACACAGAUUGGUCUGAUAGAAAGUGAAAAGCAAGGCGUCUUGAGAACAGGACUGAUACUCCCCUUAGUCUAGAGGCCCAGGACACCGCCCUUUCACUGGCGUAACAGGGGUUCGAAUUCCCCUAGGGACUGCCACUUCUGUUUGUGAGUGAAGUCACCUUCCUUAUAUCUCAAACUCAUCUUCGGUGAUGUUGAGAUAUUCACUUAAAAUCUGAUCAGCUGAAAUUGAACACUGACACGAACUUUGUUCGUGAGUCUCUCAAAUUUUCGCAACACGAUGAUGAAUCGAAAGAAACAUCUUCGGGUUGUGAGG
rnacentral:misc_RNA from 1 species